GAAUAUAAUCCUGAAUACUCCUAAACCUACUCUUGUAAAUGCGCGGCCCAAGGGUGACUGUCGUGUAGUGUAGCAGUUUAGGGUUAACUUUAGGCCAGAGAUAAUACGUGCUGCUCUGUACAUUUUGUACUUUUCGUAUGUUCUGUUCCUAUUUCAUAUCCUGGUCAACUCACCAUAUAAGGAGUUGUUUUAUUAUACAUGAAGGAGCAGACCAUACACCCCCUAGAACAGGAGGAACCAGGAAUGUGGUUUCAGUGAAACUAGAAGGUACAGAGAAAAGCAAAAGAGUAUGUUCUCGCGGUUAUUGAACUGUGCAUAACUCCUGUGUGACCUUGAUACUGAGUGUGCAAAACACAUUCCAUAACUUUCUACUGCUGAUACUCCCUAUGCAGAAGUGUGUAUAUAUACGCCCUGACGCAGCUAUGUGUCAGGACACGCAGAGAAUAAACCAGAUUGAUUUAGACUCAUGUGGUUCGCUCUCUUCUUGUCCUCGGAGAUCUCCUGGUAACGCAUCUGAACAGCACGCAGCGCAAUCUUAACAAUUUGGUGACCCCGACGUGAUACUCUCAAUCAGAAAGUUGCUGUGACAAUAGCUGACGGCCUUUUCAGGGAUCCCCUUCCAGCAUCUGGAGCAAUCCAGUUUCGGCUGAUCUACAAAGAGGGGAUGGUUGGUGAGUCUUGCAAAGUUCUGGGCUGAAGAGUCUGAAAAGCACGGGAGCCUGUGAUAUUUUUCGCCGUCUGCACCCUGUGAGCAUUAGAGAACAAAGUCAGUGACCAGUAUGACUUUCUUCAUCAUCGUGCUGAUCUCAACGCUUGGGGCAGGGUUACCCGCACAAGCAAUACACCGGGACCCAAGGGAUAACGAGUUUUGGAAAUAUAUAAACUUCACUGUAAAAACAUCAAUGAAUAUGAGUAUACCUUGUUAUGUGUGUUCUUUGUUACCCCAUGACAGCAGCGAUCCUUUUCCGGUCCGAAUAGCCCCAUCUAACUAUUCUAAGGUUAAUAUGACAUGGCUCAGCCUGUGGCCCUCGUAUACUCAAAUUAAGGUUUUCCUGACAGACAAUACAGACCCAGAGGUAAGGUUGUCAAUACACUGGGGUGUGAAUAAUACUCUGGGCUUGCGUCAGAGUAUUAAAGAGGGGAUUGUAAGAAUAUAAUCCUGAAUACUCCUAAACCUACUCUUGUAAAUGCGCGGCCCAAGGGUGACUGUCGUGUAGUGUAGCAGUUUAGGGUUAACUUUAGGCCAGAGAUAAUACGUGCUGCUCUGUACAUUUUGUACUUUUCGUAUGUUCUGUUCCUAUUUCAUAUCCUGGUCAACUCACCAUAUAAGGAGUUGUUUUAUUAUACAUGAAGGAGCAGACCAUACACCCCCUAGAACAGGAGGAACCAGGAAUGUGGUUUCAGUGAAACUAGAAGGUACAGAGAAAAGCAAAAGAGUAUGUUCUCGCGGUUAUUGAACUGUGCAUAACUCCUGUGUGACCUUGAUACUGAGUGUGCAAAACACAUUCCAUAACUUUCUACUGCUGAUACUCCCUAUGCAGAAGUGUGUAUAUAUACGCCCUGACGCAGCUAUGUGUCAGGACACGCAGAGAAUAAACCAGAUUGAUUUAGA